GCUACGGGGGGCAGCAGUGAGGAAUAUUGGUCAAUGGCCGUAAGGCUGGACCAGCCAAGUAGCGUGAGGGAAGACUGCCCUAUGGGUUGUAAACCUCUUUUAUGCGGGGAUAAAGGUGUCCACGUGUGGAUGUUUGCAGGUACCGCAUGAAUAAGGACCGGCUAAUUCCGUGCAAGCAGCCGCGGUAAUACGGAAGGUCCGGGCGUUAUCCGGAUUUAGUGGGUUUAAAGGGAGCGUAGGCCGUUCUUUAAGCGUGCCGUGAAAUUUUGAGGCUCAACCAUGAGAGUGCGGCGCGAACUGGAGACCGUGAGUGCGCGGAAGGCAGGCGGAAUUCGUGGUGUAGCGGUGAAAUGCUUAGAUAUCACGAAGAACCCCGAUUGCGAAGGCAGCCUGCCGCAGCGUUACUGACGCUGAAGCUCGAAAGCGCGGGUAUCGAACAGGAUUAGAUACCCCUGUAGUC
rnacentral:rRNA from 1 species